AUUUCGUAGACAUUUCUAAGACAAAAAUAAUGCGAUAGUGCAAUUUACUUUUGAUUAUUAAAGAUGUAUUUUAUAAUUUGUUUGAAUUCGUUUUAAUUGUAAAAAGUUUGCAAUCCUGACCUGUCAUCUUUCAUUGUUAUUGCUACCUAUUUUUGUUAAUCAUGUUAAUUUAAUCAUUGAAUCAAACAACUAUUUCAUUAAUCGCAGAUUUCAAUGAAUAAAAAUUUUAACCCAAACAAAAUAGAAAUACAUCAGUCAUUAUACAUGUAUUAUUUAAGAGAGCUGAUGAAGGAUCCCAACUUUGUAUUUCGCCAGAACCAAAGAAGCAAAACACGAUUGCUCCACCAAUGUUUAUCACAGCAGUUAAAAAAAAGAAAUAGUACCAAUUUUGAGCUGUUGUUUCAUUCCCAACGAUCUGAGCUACGCCUUCAUUGGCAGCCAAUGAUGCCAAACUGUAUAAAACUGAUCCGAAUCCACCCAAAGUCCCAGCAAAUGACGGUGCUAUGUCGAGAUGAUUUGCACCAGCGCCAGCAUAACUAAACUUCCCAUUCCUUUGGCAAUUGACAAGAUAUCGGUCUUUACUUUCCAAAGCACAUAUUGAGCGUCAAGGUUUCAGAGUUACUAUACUUACCAAGUACUGUAAAAGACUUCCUUAUUAUCGCUGUAGAGAAGCGAUUAGUUUGGCGCAAUUUAUCAGCAACUGAACUUCCAGCUAUUGGAAAUAGCGUCGAUAACAACCAGUUUGCUUGAGUCACAAGACUUGGGAUGCCUGGGAUAUAUUUAUAUUAGUAGGCUAUUUAUCAACU